rnacentral:rRNA from 1 species
UACGGAGGGUGCAAGCGUUAUCCGGAUUCACUGGGUUUAAAGGGUGCGUAGGUGGGUUGGUAAGUCAGUGGUGAAAUCUCCAGGCUUAACUUGGAAACUGCCAUUGAUACUAUCAAUCUUGAAUACCGUGGAGGUCAGCGGAAUAUGUCAUGUAGCGGUGAAAUGCUUAGAUAUGACAUAGAACACCAAUUGCGAAGGCAGCAGGCUACGCAUAUAUUGACGCUGAGGCACGAAAGCGUGGGGAUCAAACAGG